rnacentral:rRNA from 1 species
UACGGGGGGAGCAAGCGUUGUUCGGAUUUACUGGGCGUAAAGGGCGCGUAGGCGGCCAGCGCAAGUCAGUUGUGAAAUCUCCGAGCUUAACUCGGAAAGGUCAACUGAUACUGCGCGGCUAGAGUGCAGAAGGGGCAACUGGAAUUCUCGGUGUAGCGGUGAAAUGCGUAGAGAUCCGGAGGAACACCAGUGGCGAAGGCGACACGCUGGGCCGUACCUGACGCUAAAGCGCGACAGCAUGGGGAGCAAACGGG